GCCACAGGAAAGGCAGUUUACGAAAACGACGUGGCAAAGUGGACCGCAAUGUGUUUGAGAGAAGACGUUACAUUUUCUACGAUAGGGCCUCCGGCUACGCCAGGUGUGCUGCAGUGUGACACUUGUGUACCGGAGGACCACUUUUGCGUGUGACAUCUGUUCGCGGUGGAGAUGCUGCUGCUGAGAAUCGAGCCAUCCAGUGUACUUUUCCAAACCAAUUAACCGAUGUUGCGACACCACUCUAGCGGGUAGACGUCCGUCUAUUGGCGUCUGUUCAUCUACCGGGAUUGGCGUAGUUCUGAACCACCACAAUGUUGGGAGUUGAACGUGAAGAUCAGCCCAUGCAUGUCUAGUCAGACUGAGGUUCAUUGUCAUUGGAACAAACGGGAUUCUCACCGGCAGAAUCGUCGGGGAAGG